rfam:Pseudogymnoascus pannorum VKM F-4518 (FW-2643) contig_3085, whole genome shotgun sequence.
AUAUAUUUGAGUUUGAUGAUGGCUCUGAAUGAACGCUGUCCAAAUGCUUGACACAUGCUAAUCGUACGUUUAAUAUAAUAUAAUAGUGUAAACUAUUUAUUUAAUUAAAAGUGGUGUACAGGUGAGUAUAUGAUAUUUUGGCUACCUUAAAGUAAGGCUAAUAAAUACCUUAUAAAGAAAGGAAGUAAAUUUCCGCUUUAAGAUGACAGUAAAUAUCUCGGAUAGGUAGUAGUUAAGGUAAUGACUUAACUAGCUUAAAAUUCCGUAAUCGAGGCUGAGAGGUCCAUCGAUCACAUUGGGUCUGAAAAAACCCCAAUACGUAUAGUACAGCAGUGAGGAAUAUUGGUCAAUAGCCUAAGGGCUGAACCAGCAACUUGGAAGAACGUAAAGCUUCGGCUUGUGAAACCUAAAAAUAAUGGUGAGCAUCGACUAUGUCGAAUAAAGUUCUAGAUAUAAUAUUGAUUAUGACAAUUUUUUAUCUAUUUGUCUUGACCAAAAUACGUGCCAG